rnacentral:rRNA from 1 species
AGUUUUUUCCUGGCUCCAGGAUGAACGCCGGGCGGCGUUCCUAACCCAUGCAAGUCGAACGAAAGCGCCUGCGGCGGGCCCCUUCCGGGGGAAAGCCGCGGGGGACUGAGUGGCGGACGGGGUGAGCAACGCGUGGGCCAACCUGCCCCGUACCGGGGGACAACAGCCGGAAACGGCUGCUAAUACCGCAUAUUCCCGCGGGGCCGCAUGGCCCUGCGGGGAAAGCUCCGGCAGUACGGGAUGGGCCCGCGUCUGAUUAGCUUGUUGGCGGGGUAACGGCCCACCAAGGCUGCGAUCAGUAGCCGGCCUGAGAGGGCGGCCGGCCACAUUGGGACUGAGACACGGCCCAGACUCCUGCGGGAGGCAGCAGUGGGGGAUAUUGCACAAUGGGGGGAACCCUGAUGCAGCGACGCCGCGUGAACGAAGAAAUAUUUCGGUAUGUAAAGUUCUAUCAGCAGGGAAGAAAAUGACAGUACCUGACCAAGAAGCCCCGGCUAACUACGUGCCAGCAGCCGCGGUAAUACGUAGGGGGCGAGCGUUAUCCGGAUUCACUGGGCGUAAAGGGAGCGCAGGCGGCACGGCAAGUCCGGUGUGAAAGCCCGGGGCCCAACCCCGGGACUGCACUGGAAACUGCCGGGCUGGAGUGUCGGAGGGGCAGGCGGAAUUCCUAGUGUAGCGGUGAAAUGCGUAGAUAUUAGGAGGAACACCGGUGGCGAAGGCGGCCUGCUGGACGACGAUUGACGCUGAGGCUCGAAAGCGUGGGGAGCAAACAGGAUUAGAUACCCUGGUAGUCCACGCCGUAAACGAUGAGCGCUAGGUGUCCGGGGGGAAUGGCCCCUGGGUGCCACAGCGAAAGCGUUAAGCGCUCCACCUGGGGAGUACGCCGGCAACGGUGAAACUCAAAGGAAUUGACGGGGGCCCGCACAAGCGGAGGAACAUGUGGUUUAAUUCGAUGAUACGCGAGGAACCUUACCCGGGCUCAAACGCAGGAGGGAUGUUUUUGAAAGGAGGCAGCCAGCAAUGGUCUCCUGCGAGGUGCUGCAUGGUUGUCGUCAGCUCGUGCCGUGAGGUGUCGGCUUAAGUGCCAUAACGAGCGCAACCCCUACCUACAGUUGCCAUCGCGUGAUGGCGGGCACUCUGUGGGGACUGCCUGCGCAAGCAGUGAGGAAGGCGGGGAUGACGUCAAAUCAGCACGGCCCUUACGUCCGGGGCGACACACGUGUUACAAUGGCAGGUACAGCGGGAAGCCACCCGGCGACGGGGCGCGGAACCCGAAAACCUGUCUCAGUUCGGAUUGGAGUCUGCAACCCGACUCCAUGAAGCUGGAUUCGCUAGUAAUCGCGCAUCAGCCACGGCGCGGUGAAUACGUUCCCGGGCCUUGCACACACCGCCCGUCAAG